rnacentral:rRNA from 1 species
AUUGAACGCUGGCGGCAGGCCUAACACAUGCAAGUCGAGCGGAUGAAGGGAGCUUGCUCCUGGAUUCAGCGGCGGACGGGCGAGUAAUGCCUAGGAAUCUGCCUGGUAGUGGGGGAUAACGUCCGGAAACGGGCGCUAAUACCGCAUACGUCCUGAGGGAGAAAGGGGGGGAUCUUCGGACCUCACGCUAUCAGAUGACCCUAGGUCGGAUUAGCUAGUUGGUGGGGUAAAGGCCUACCAAGGCGACGAUCCGUAACUGGUCUGAGAGGAUGAUCAGUCACACUGGAACUGAGACACGGUCCAGACUCCUACGGGAGGCAGCAGUGGGGAAUAUUGGACAAUGGGCGAAAGCCUGAUCCAGCCAUGCCGCGUGUGUGAAGAAGGUCUUCGGAUUGUAAAGCACUUUUAGUUGGGAAGAAGAGCAGUAAGUUAAUACCUUGCUGUUUUGACGUUACCUACAGAAUAAGCACCGGCUAACUUCGUG